GAAAAAGCAUUGAAAGAGAAAAGUAGUUAUGAAAAGGAUCUUCAGAGAGUCGGUGGCUGGUGUGAACCGAUGACCUUGAUUAAUGAAACUCACUCUUGAGUGUCAAGCUGAAUUAUUUUGUAAGGUAAGCUUGAACGUUGGUCACGUUAUAACCAGAUUUUGGUUAGCCAAAAUCCCAAAGUUAGGUUAUUAACCUAAGAAGAAGGGUGGUACCGCGAAAAGUCUUUCGCCCCUUCA
rnacentral:ncRNA from 1 species